rnacentral:tRNA from 1 species
GCGGGCGUAGCUCAGUGGUAGAGUGUCACCUUGCCAAGGUGAAUGUCGAGGGUUCGAAUCCCUUCGCCCGCUUCA